rnacentral:rRNA from 1 species
UACAGAGGGGGCAAGCGUUGUUCGGAAUUACUGGGCGUAAAGGGCGCGUAGGCGGCCUGUUAAGUCGAACGUGAAAUCCCUGGGCUCAACCCAGGAACUGCGUCCGAUACUGGCAGGCUUGAAUCCGGGAGAGGGAUGCGGAAUUCCAGGUGUAGCGGUGAAAUGCGUAGAUAUCUGGAGGAACACCGGUGGCGAAGGCGGCAUCCUGGACCGGCAUUGACGCUGAGGCGCGAAAGCUAGGGGAGCAAACGGG